AUUGAACGCUGGCGGCAUGCCUUACACAUGCAAGUCGAACGGUAACGCGGGGCAACCUGGCGACGAGUGGCGAACGGGUGAGUAAUGUAUCGGAACGUGCCCAGUUGUGGGGGAUAACUGCUCGAAAGAGCAGCUAAUACCGCAUACGACCUGAGGGUGAAAGCGGGGGAUCGCAAGACCUCGCGCAAUUGGAGCGGCCGAUAUCAGAUUAGGUAGUUGGUGGGGUAAAGGCUCACUAAGCCAACGAUCUGUAGCUGGUCUGAGAGGACGACCAGCCACACUGGGACUGAGACACGGCCCAGACUCCUACGGGAGGCAGCAGUGGGAAUUUUGGACAAUGGACGCAAGUCUGAUCCAGCCAUGCCGCGUGCGGGAAGAAGGCCUUCGGGUUGUAAACCGCUUUUGUCAGGGAAGAAACGCUCUGGGUUAAUACCUCGGGGUAAUGACGGUACCUGAAGAAUAAGCACCGGCUAACUACGUGCCAGCAGCCGCCGCCGUAA
rnacentral:rRNA from 1 species